rnacentral:rRNA from 1 species
UACGGAGGGGGCUAGCGUUGUUCGGAAUUACUGGGCGUAAAGCGCACGUAGGCGGCUUUGUAAGUUAGAGGUGAAAGCCCAGGGCUUAACCCUGGAAUUGCCUUUAAGACUGCAUCGCUAGAAUCGUGGAGAGGUGAGUGGAAUUCCGAGUGUAGAGGUGAAAUUCGUAGAUAUUCGGAAGAACACCAGUGGCGAAGGCGACUCACUGGACACGUAUUGACGAUGAGGUGCGAAAGCGUGGGGAGCAAACAGG